rnacentral:tRNA from 1 species
CCUGAUAGCUCAGUUGGUAAAGAAUCUGUGUGCAAUGCAGAAAACCCUGGUUCGAUUCCUGGGUCAGGA